GCUGGCGGCGUGCUUAACACAUGCAAGUCGAGCGGUAAGGCCCUUCGGGGUACACGAGCGGCGAACGGGUGAGUAACACGUGAGCAACCUGCCCCUGACUCCGGGAUAAGCCGGGGAAACCCGGUCUAAUACCGGAUAGGGACGCCUCGUCGCAUGGCGGGGUGUGGAAAGGUUUUUUCCGGUCAGGGAGGGGCUCGCGGCCUAUCAGCUUGUUGGUGGGGUGAAGGCCUACCAAGGCGAUUACGGGUAGCCGGCCUGAGAGGGCGACCGGCCACACUGGGACUGAGACACGGCCCAGACUCCUACGGGAGGCAGCAGUGGGGAAUAUUGCGCAAUGGGCGGAAGCCUGACGCAGCGACGCCGCGUGGGGGAUGACGGCCUUCGGGUUGUAAACCUCUUUUACCACCGACGCAGGCCCGCGCUUCUGUGCGGGUUGACGGUAGGUGGGGAAUAAGGACCGGCCAACUACGUGCCAGCAGCCGCGGUAAUACGUAGGGUCCGAGCGUUGUCCGGAAUUAUUGGGCGUAAAGAGCUCGUAGGUGGUGUGUCGCGUCUGCUGUGUAAGUCCGGGGCUUAACUCCGGUUUGGCAGUGGAUACGGGCAUGCUAGAGGUAGGCAGGGGAGACUGGAAUUCCUGGUGUAGCGGUGAAAUGCGCAGAUAUCAGGAGGAACACCGGUGGCGAAGGCGGGUCUCUGGGCCUUACCUGACGCUGAGGAGCGAAAGCGUGGGGAGCGAACAGGAUUAGAUAC
rnacentral:rRNA from 1 species